AAGUCGUAACAAGGUCUCCGUAGGUGAACCUGCGGAGGGAUCAUUAACACGUAUCCAACACGUCUCUAAACCAAAACCGCGCUCCUUCUUUUCCCAUGCCAGGAGGUGUAUAUGCAAGCCAUAAGAUAGAUUCAGUAAAGGGGUCAAAGCCUUUAUUGUCUGCUUGCAGUACUAUGGUCCCCUUGAGGACCGAACCGAUCUGGUCAUGGUGUAUCCAAAGGCUAUCUGGUUAUCAGUGCCACCCCGGUAUCGACCCGGAGCCUGGUAGCCGUAUUAAACCUUAAUUUUUUUAACCCCUUUCUUUAAUUAACUACUGAUCUUUACUCUUUAAGGGCCGGGCCUUUCAUUAGGUUCCCCCCCACCAAAAGAUGUAUACGAAACCGCGAACAACUCUUAGCAACGGAUAUCUUGGUUCUC
rnacentral:misc_RNA from 1 species